UACAGAGGUCCCAAGCGUUGUUCGGAUUCACUGGGCGUAAAGGGUGCGUAGGUGGUGAGGUAAGUCGGAUGUGAAAUCUCCAAGCUCAACUUGGAAACUGCAUUGGAAACAACCUUGCUAGAGGAUUUGAGGGGGGAUUGGAAUACUUGGUGUAGCAGUGAAAUGCGUAGAUAUCAAGUGGAACACCAGUGGCGAAGGCGAAUCCCUGGAAAAUACCUGACACUGAGGCACGAAAGCUAGGGGAGCAAACAGG
rnacentral:rRNA from 1 species